rnacentral:rRNA from 1 species
GACGAACGCUGGCGGCAUGCCUAACACAUGCAAGUCGAACGAGACCUUCGGGUCUAGUGGCGCACGGGUGCGUAACGCGUGGGAACCUGCCCUUAGGUUCGGAAUAACUCCCCGAAAGGGGUGCUAAUACCGGAUAAUGUCUUCGGACCAAAGAUUUAUCGCCUUUGGAUGGGCCCGCGUUGGAUUAGCUAGUUGGUAGGGUAAAAGCCUACCAAGGCGACGAUCCAUAGCUGGUCUGAGAGGAUGAUCAGCCACACUGGGACUGAGACACGGCCCAGACUCCUACGGGAGGCAGCAGUGGGGAAUAUUGGACAAUGGGCGAAAGCCUGAUCCAGCAAUGCCGCGUGAGUGAUGAAGGCCUUAGGGUUGUAAAGCUCUUUUACCCGGGAUGAUAAUGACAGUACCGGGAGAAUAAGCUCCGGCCAACUCCGUG